CCACUUAGAAACCUAGAUAUGGUGGUGGUUUCUUCCUCUCUAAUGGAUGCUCUCAUCAUGUAGAGCUCCAUUUUCUGCCUAUACUCUUCCACACUUAAGUUCUUUUGUUGGAGUCUUUGGAGCUUGUCCAUCAACUCCCUAUGGUAGUAGGAAGGUAUGUGACGACGUCUUAGGGCUCCCCUAAGGUCAUUCCAAUAUUCUAUGGGAGGCUCCAUAUGAAGACGUCGGUCUCUCUCUAGAGAGGUCCACCAAUACAUGGCAUUGCUUUGGAAACUAAGGGUUGCUAAGGGUACCUUCCUCUCUU
rnacentral:lncRNA from 1 species